AUUGAACGCUGGCGGCAGGCCUAACACAUGCAAGUCGAGCGGAUGAAGGGAGCUUGCUCCUGGAUUCAGCGGCGGACGGGUGAGUAAUGCCUAGGAAUCUGCCUGGUAGUGGGGGAUAACGUCCGGAAACGGGCGCUAAUACCGCAUACGUCCUCAGGGAGAAAGUGGGGGAUCUUCGGACCUCACGCUAUCAGAUGAGCCUAGGUCGGAUUAGCUAGUUGGUGGGGUAAAGGCCUACCAAGGCGACGAUCCGUAACUGGUCUGAGAGGAUGAUCAGUCACACUAGAACUGAGACACGGUCCAGACUCCUACGGGAGGCAGCAGUGGGGAAUAUUGGACAAUGGGCGAAAGCAUGAUCCAGCCAUGCCGCGUGUGUGAAGAAGGUCUUCGGAUUGUAAAGCACUUUAAGUUGGGAGGAAGGGCAGUAAGUUAAUACCUUGCUGUUUUGACGUUACCAACAGAAUAAGCACCGGCUAACUUCGUG
rnacentral:rRNA from 1 species